rnacentral:rRNA from 1 species
AUUGAACGCUGGCGGCAUGCUUUACACAUGCAAGUCGAACGGUAACAGGCCGCAAGGUGCUGGCGAGUGGCGAACGGGUGAGUAAUGCAUCGGAACGUGCCCAGUCGUGGGGGAUAACUACUCGAAAGAGUAGCUAAUACCGCAUACGAUCUAUGGAUGAAAGCGGGGGACCGUAAGGCCUCGCGCGAUUGGAGCGGCCGAUGUCAGAUUAGGUAGUUGGUGGGGUAAAGGCUCACCAAGCCAACGAUCUGUAGCUGGUCUGAGAGGACGACCAGCCACACUGGGACUGAGACACGGCCCAGACUCCUACGGGAGGCAGCAGUGGGGAAUUUUGGACAAUGGGCGCAAGCCUGAUCCAGCAAUGCCGCGUGCAGGAAGAAGGCCUUCGGGUUGUAAACUGCUUCUGUACGGAACGAAACGGCUCUGGUUAAUACCCGGGGCUAAUGACGGUACCGUAAGAAUAAGCACCGGCUAACUACGUG